rnacentral:lncRNA from 1 species
UUAAUUUCGUGAUUGAUUAAGUUUCUCUAGAGAUUUUGUUGUAUUAUGAUUAACAUUGCUUAAUUUUAAACAAAUAGACAUUCUAGUUCAUGAUGAUGAGCUUCAUAAAAUUGUGGCAUUUAUAUAUUGGUUUAAUUAUUAGGGAAUGCAUAUUGUUUUAUUCUAAUCAUAUGCUUAAAUAUUGUUAUAUAUCUUUAAUUUAUGAAUUUCAUUUUAUAAUGUCUAAAUUAUUACCUAAUUGGAUAUGACAACAUAUCUCAUGUGUUUUUUAUACUAGGAUGAGAUUAAUGUUCCCUUAAAAACCACCAAUAACCAGAUGAAUUUAUGGCAUCCAAUGUACCAUCGAUUUCAAAGAGUUGGGAUCAAAAUUUUUUCUCUAGUAUAUAAGAUGUAAAUCUG